rnacentral:lncRNA from 1 species
AGGCAGUUAAAAGUAAUGGGACAAUGGUCCGAGGAGUGGGAUGUAAGGGCAUUCUGCAUAGAGGCUGGGAACAAAUCUUCCCACUCCUGAGACAUCAGAAAACGUACGGUCCUGUCCGGCAAGCGCCGCCUGUUCUCUACCAUUACUCCUGGUAAAAUUUCUACCCUUCAACUCCAGAUCGAUGAGCUCCAAGGAAAUCCAAAAAGGAUAACCCGUCUCUAACACUUUUGAGUUUUUUCUUAAAAAAAAGAAAUAGUCAAAGAAAAGAUCGUUUAAAUAAGUGAUAGAGCUAAAUGAAAGUUUGACACAACAAGAUAAAUUGGAUAUGUUUAGGGGGAAGAGAGUUGCAAAAUUCCAACCAAGACAUCAAUGUACUUCCCCUCCAGUGUCACUCUUUUCUUAAUGGAUCCUCGCACUAAAUGCCAGGUCCAAGACAUCAAAGAAAAAAAAAAAAAGAACCAGCCCGGAUUGGUGUUGGGAGAGGAAGUGGUCCUCACCUCGACUCCUCUCCUUCCAAUCCCAAUUCCAGGGCUCUUCUCGCUCAUCAUCAAUCUCUCUCUCAUCACCAUGCUUCACUCUCCCUCCCUUUGUCUAUCAAAGCAAGCCAUUGCUAUCGAUCUCAA